GAACUGCCCCUGUUACCUUACCCAGGGAAAAGGGACCUGCUUAACCUGGGGCUAAUAUAUCUGUCUUCUAUCACUCUCCUGUAGCCAUCUGGCCCGAACCUGUCACAACAUAUACACACGUACAUACAUACUAACAGACAGACACACACAC